CUGAUCCUCCAUAUGGUUGUGACU
rnacentral:siRNA from 1 species